GGACUUUCUGCUGCAGAUUCAGGAACAGAACAACAAGAAAAGACUACCCUGCCAAGCCCAACGGUCACCUUCCAACUCCAGUAGGAAGCUAAGGCAGAUUUUGAAGGCUCCUUCCCAGGUAUGUGCGGACAGCUGAACAUCGGAAACCAAGAUCUGCCAUUUCUCUGCAGCCCGAGUCUUGAAACAGCGCCCGUGCUUCCUCUGCCCUUCCUGAGCACUGCACCCUAUCAGAAGGGCUAGUGUGAGCAGGAUGGGGCCCCAACUGCCACUGUAGCCCAUGGGACUGUGACUUUGCCUCUUCAGGAGCUUUUAUGGGCCAAAUGCGGAAGGGAAACAAAGAACACACGUUUGAUUUCAGAAUGGAAAACGUCUAGCUGGAGGAUACUCAGUGGCUUGUGAUUAGUUCCAUUUACUGCCUAUGCCAGGCUUCAGCUUGCUUACCUAGGAACUUAAGGCUUCGCAGCCAUCACAGGCUAAGCGAAUGAUUUACCCCAUUGUAACCCCAGGUGGGAGGUUUCUUCUUCAUGCUUGGCCCCGUCAAGUGGCUCUCUUUCUGGGUAAUGCCCUCCCUUCAAGGUGUUCGCCUAUUUUGUGACUCCGGCCCCUAGCUAAAGAACAUCCCGGAUCAGGGGUCCGAGCUAGCUGCCUUGGAAGGACUUGAAAGGUCAUCUCUUCUGGCUCUGACUCCUGGACUGGAGAGCACAGCACAGACCGUGUCUCUGUGCACCCGCUGGUUAAACGCCUUUACUUAGCGCACUCUCCACACGCGUCCUUCUAAGAGCAGCCCUGCAGGUGACGUCAAGAGGACAGAGUUGAGAGCAUCCCUGACGUCAGGCUCAAGUGUACUCGCUGUUCCCGGGGUCUCCAGAUGUGACAGGAUCCCCAUCUGGCUUCUGGCAUAGUGUUCAGUAUGGUUCAGAACCUUAAGAGAAAGAGGUACAGGAGUGCUCGGCAACUCUAUAUCCAACGAGAGGGCAACAUUGCAAAAUGCUACUCUAAGGUCCAGUAGGCACUUAGUUAAUUAUAUCACCUCUGCUUUAAGAAAUCUGAUGAUUUUUGACUCUUUAGGGUCACUUGAAUAAAUCAUUUGGAAUGAUUAUUUAUUACCUAACAACACUGUUAAAUAAAGGCUCAGUGUUGCUCAGAGAGAAUCAGCACUGUCCACUUUGAAAUCUGAGUAAUAAAUGAAAUUUUGCCGUA